GAUGAACGCUGGCGGCGUGCCUAAUACAUGCAAGUCGAGCGAACAGACGAGGAGCUUGCUCCUCUGACGUUAGCGGCGGACGGGUGAGUAACACGUGGAUAACCUACCUAUAAGACUGGGAUAACUUCGGGAAACCGGAGCUAAUACCGGAUAAUAUAUUGAACGGCAUGGUUCAAUAGUGCAAGAGGGAUUUGCUGUCACUUAUAGAUGGUUCCGGGCCGCAUUAGCUAGUUGGUAAGGUAACGGCUUACCAAGGCAACGAUGCGUAGCCGACCUGAGAGGGUGAUCGGCCACACUGGAACUGAGACACGGUCCAGACUCCUACGGGAGGCAGCAGUAGGGAAUCUUCCGCAAUGGGCGAAAGCUUGACGGAGCAACGCCGCGUGAGUGAUGAAGGUCUUCGGAUCGUAAAACUCUGUUAUUAGGGAAGAACAAAUGUGUAAGUAACUAUGCACGUCUUGACGGUACCUAAUCAGAAAGCCACGGCUAACUACGUG
rnacentral:rRNA from 1 species